rnacentral:rRNA from 1 species
UAUUUAAUAUUGAUUCUAUAUAAAUUAUAAUUAUAAGAAAUUAAAAAUAUUUUAAAGUACAGUAAUAGAAACAAAUAAAUAAUAAGAAGUAAAUAUAU